rnacentral:rRNA from 1 species
UACGUAGGUGGCGAGCGUUGUCCGGAUUUAUUGGGCGUAAAGCGCGCGCAGGCGGUGCGCUAAGUCUGCGGUGAAAUCUCCCUGGCUCAACCGGGAGGGGGCCGUGGAGACUGGCGCACUGGAGGGACCUAGAGGCCGGUGGAAUUCCCGGUGUAGAGGUGAAAUUCGUAGAUAUUGGGAAGAACACCGGUGGCGAAGGCGGCCAACUGGACCACAACUGACGCUGAGGCGCGAAAGCGUGGGGAGCAAACAGG